rnacentral:rRNA from 1 species
UGGGGAAUAUUGCACAAUGGGCGCAAGCCUGAUGCAGCCAUGCCGCGUGUGUGAAGAAGGCCUUCGGGUUGUAAAGCACUUUCAGCGGGGAGGAAGGCGAUAAGGUUAAUAACCUUGUCGAUUGACGUUACCCGCAGAAGAAGCACCGGCUAACUCCGUGCCAGCAGCCGCGGUAAUACGGAGGGUGCAAGCGUUAAUCGGAAUUACUGGGCGUAAAGCGCACGCAGGCGGUCUGUCAAGUCGGAUGUGAAAUCCCCGGGCUUAACCCGGGAAUUGCAUCUGAUACUGGUCAGCUAGAGUCUUGUAGAGGGGGGUAGAAUUCCAUGUGUAGCGGUGAGAAGCGUAGAGAUGUGGAGGAAUACCGGUGGCGAAGGCGGCCCCCUGGACAAAGACUGACGCUCAGGUGCGAAAGCGUGGGGAUCAAACAGG